rnacentral:lncRNA from 1 species
AUGUGGAUAUGAAUAUGGAAUUUGUGUAUUUCCCGUGUUCUAAGUGUUGAAAUUUAAUGAAUAGAGUUUAGACUAGUUGGAAGGGUUUAAACUAGUUCGCAACAAUUGUUGUUAUAUCUAUUCAUCCCCUUACAAAGAGAUUUGUCUCAGUAUAGCCAAUGACUUAAUCCACUGUUUAUCCAAUAGUAUAAAAGUAUUCUUUACUCUACCUCUCUAAGCUUGAAGUAUUUUUUCACCUCUUUAGGAUGAAAGAGUUAUUGCCACUAUUGGAUUGAAGUACAUUGAGUCAAGUUUGUGUCUGAAUUGUCCGUAAUCUUUUUUUUUUGAAUUUUAACUCUCAUUGAGAGAAUAAUACAAUUCAAUCUUAUAUCAGUUCAAAUGUAUACCAUUCUUUUCUUUUGAUAUAUUCAAGGCUUUUUCAUAAAUCUUCUUUGAGCAUUGUCUUAGGAUGUAAAUCAUUUGCAUUUUGUGAUGCCACAU